CACCGCUCCCAUACUUAUACAUUAUAAUUAUAAUUUUUUUUUGUAGGAGAAUAUGACUGUACAGGAUGUUGCUCACGGUCCCAGCUGCCUGGUUGAAUUUCAAUCAACUCCUGCAAAUAUGAAUAUCCCAGAUGCUGUUCCUGGUCCAAGCGGUGUCACUCAACAAAUGCCACUAACAGACAUCCCGGAUCAAGAAAAUACAACUACAGGCCAACCAUUGUGGUCAAGACGGCGUCGACCUCAAAUGGGUGCCAGGCAUGAGAGAACAGAGGCGCUGGAAAAUAUAACCUCCAGCUUUUGCAAUGUUCAGCAGCAGAAAUUGACCUAUGAACAAUUGAAAGUUCAAUUGCUGAUGGACGAGAAAAUA